UGGGAGGCCUCGGUACACAACUAAGCAAGAGGACAAGUAUAUUAGAGUGUCUAGUUUGAGAAAUAAACUUCUCAAGUCCUCAAUUGGCUUCAUUAAAUAGUACCCGCAAAACACCAGUCUCAAUGUCAAGAGGCGACUCCGAGAAUCUGGCCUUCUAGGCAGUUCCUCUGUCCAGUGUCUGUGUUCUUUUGCCAAUCUUUUUUCUUAGCCAGUCUGAGAUAUGGCUUUUUCUUUGCAACUCUGUCAAGAAGGCCAGCAAUUGGUCCAAUGUGAUGGCAUGGAGCUCCAUUCAAUCACUCACAGUGUUUACAACAUGCAUGUAAACACUAACACACGUCUUUUUCCAGUGUGAAAUAGCAUCACACAGGCUCCGAUGAAGGCGAUUCAUACCGAAAUGUAAGUCAAUUGUUUUACUUGUCCCAUCAGAUUUAUGCCACAACAGAGUGCUCCUUUAUCCUCCUGAACAGUCACAAGUUGAAAGGGUGAGUUGUACAACUGAAUGCAUUCAACUGAAAUGUGUCUUCUGUAUUUAACCCAACCCCUCUGAAUCAGAGAGCUGCAGGGGACUAACUUAAUCAACAACCACAUCUUCAGCACCCGGGCCCAACGCUGUAACCACUAGGCCACCUGCCACCCCGGAAGUAUCCUGGGUUGGUGCCCUUCUUAUUCUCCAGGAGCUCAGCUACAUCUUACAGUAUGGAGAAGUGGGCAAUGUUUUGUAACUUGCAUGCUAGGGGCACAAGCCUCCAUGACAACAAACCUCACAAAAUAUGCACACAUUGUGAGAGGUAAAAUAAACCGUCGGAUUCCAACAACACCAUGAGCAGAGAGAGCGAGAGAAGGGCUUUCGGGAGAGUGCUCAUCAAGGCCCUGAUUCCAGCCCAAGUUAAGCGAGCAUAUUCGUUCAGGGUAGAGAUUGAAGAAAUGAAGGUGUGGCGGAGGUGUGUGUGCAGAUAAGCCGUAUUCUGAACUUGACCUAAAUCCCCUCGGAAUUCCACCCGCUUUACACUCGAGAAAACCAUGAAUGAGGUUGAGCGAACCUGCCGUUUCCAAGUGGAAAAAGCAUCUACUUCAUUUUUUCCAAUAGAAAUAACAGCAUUCUUUAUGCACUGUCAUUUAUACAUGAAUACGAGUGGAUGUAAAUGAGUAAUCUGUUUUGAGAAGGGGAUUGUAAAUACACAUGGAUUAUUUUUCCUUACGAUCCCUGGUGACGAAUGUGAAGCCAGGCAUAUGGAAGCAAACUGAAAAUCAUAUCUUGACAUGUAUUGUGGCCCCUUUUCCACAGUGAAAUAGGCUACAAAUAGCUGUGUCGUAAAUUCAGAAGUGUUAUUGUGUGCCCUCGCAAUUUGCGUGUAUAAAAUUUGGACAACCAAUCUAUAGGCUUCUGUAGGGCUGAACCUGCCAAGCUGAUGAAUGUUUUAAUUAUAGCCUAUGCCCUGGCUUUUCUCCAUUUUACAUAAAAAUGUGUAUUGUGUUAAAUAUUAGCCACUAUCAGUAGCCACUGUCAGUAAUACCCAUUGAUUUAUAACUACUACUUUUGUGUUAGUUUCCUUCAAUUUGUAGCCUACAUAUUGCAUCAUUCCAUUCCAAUCUGUUUACCUUUCUUUCCUCUGUCAAGUCCAUGUAAGUAACGUUGUUGUCACGCCCUGGCCAUAGAGAGGCUUUUUAUUC